rnacentral:misc_RNA from 1 species
UUAGCUUGAAAGGAAAGGACUUGCUAAAUUCCAAUGGCAACAAUGAUUGCAAAAGGUACCCAUGGAAGUCUAGUCCCUUCUUUCUUCCUCAAUCCACUAUUGGUUUUUUCAAGAACAUUGCAGAAAGUGUAUUUGGGUACAUUGGUUCUACAUCACUAUCUAGCCCAUUAUCAUCUGGAUCUUUUCCUAAAGAUGAUAAUCAAUCUCAGACUCAUGAAGAGAGAGGAAUACUGGAAAACUGUGAUCUCUGCACAGA